rnacentral:rRNA from 1 species
UACAGAGGUCUCAAGCGUUGUUCGGAUUCAUUGGGCGUAAAGGGCGCGUAGGCGGUCGUGACAAGUCACUUGUGAAAUCUCCGGGCUUAACUCGAAACGGUCAAGUGAUACUGUCGGACUAGAGUACAGAAGGGGCAACUGGAAUUCUCGGUGUAGCGGUGAAAUGCGUAGAUAUCGAGAGGAACACCUGCGCGAAGGCGGGUUGCUGGGCUGAUACUGACGCUGAGGCGCGAAAGCCAGGGAGCGAACGGG